GUGCUCAUUUUGGUAGCAUUUCUACUAAAAUUGGAAUAAGACAGAGAAUAUUAACAAGGCCCCUGCGUCAGGAUGACAAAGAAAUUUGUGAAGCAUUCAGUGUUUUG
rnacentral:snRNA from 1 species